UACGUAGGUGGCAAGCGUUAUCCGGAUUUAUUGGGCGUAAAGCGAGCGCAGGCGGUUACUUAGGUCUGAUGUGAAAGCCUUCGGCUUAACCGAAGAAGUGCAUCGGAAACCGGGUGACUUGAGUGCAGAAGAGGACAGUGGAACUCCAUGUGUAGCGGUGGAAUGCGUAGAUAUAUGGAAGAACACCAGUGGCGAAGGCGGCUGUCUGGUCUGCAACUGACGCUGAGGCUCGAAAGCAUGGGUAGCGAACAGG
rnacentral:rRNA from 1 species